rnacentral:lncRNA from 1 species
UGAAUACAUGUAAAUUACUUACUUUUUGAAAUCGUAAAUUACUUUUGACACUUGUGAUUACCAACCAAGAGAUUCCAAGGUCACUGGAAUUUAAGUCCAUUGAAUUUACUCAAUACUAUGUUAAGCCGAUAUAUCAUUUAUAGGUGUAUGGGUAUCGAAAUGGGUUUAUUUACUCUUUACCUGUGACUGCUACCCAAUAUAAUUUAAAUCCAUUGAAAAUGUAGAUUAUUGGGAAAUGGUUUUUAUUUAUUUAUUUAUUUUUCCCGGUUUUGUUCUGUAUAUGUUUGUGAUCUAUUUGCCGGUUGCUUGAUUGAUCAAUUAUAUGGUUAGAUUGUGAAAUUCUAGGAAACUAGGUUAGCAUGUGAAUGAACCUGUUAAUACAACUGACUCUAUCAUUGAAGAUUAGACAUGGCAGAGGAAGAACUGAAGCGUAUUGCUGAAUAUGUGGUAUGCAAAGUUUUGCUUUUUAUUUACUAUGUGCCACAUUGUAUAUUCUGAUAUGAUAUAGAAGAUUAGUAUAAAAAUUUCAUUUUUCUCUCUUCAUAUUCGAGCCCUUGCCAAGGGGAAGGAGAAUCUAACCUAUGUAGUGAGUCCAAUAACCUGAUUAUUGAUACUAGUCGAUUCCAAUACAAUAUUCCAAGUAUGGUUUUAACAAAUGUUGUGAUUUUUCAGGAGGAGAAAUCAAAAGGGAAGGUUGCUGAUUUCAGGCCAAAUAUUCUUAUGCUUGGACUUCCUCCUCCUGAUUAUGUUCUGCGCACAGUUUCUAACGUUCACACUAAUGAUUUGGAGCAGACAUUGCUAGUAAGUGCGGUGACAUUCGUACAUUGAAGCCAUCUAUCUUGUGUGUUGGUUGAUGGAUAAUUUCUUAUUGUCAUCAGUGGAAUUAUAUCUAAUGUACAUUCGUUGUGUUUGUAUCAGAAAUUUCUAUCCAUCAAUUGUAUCACUGCUUUUAUUAGUUUGAAAACAAUGAACUCCUAUGAAAUAUCCAUAUACCCCUUCAACCACGAGAUUUUAGCAUCUGUCAAUUUGAUCAUUUUAUUUUUGGCAUUACGAAUUUUUUUAUUCAUUGUUAUAUUGAUUGACUAUGUGGUGUUGCAUUCGGUUAGAAUUGACAUGUAUGAUUGCAAGUUUGCUUUAGCUCCAUAAAUAUCAUAGUUUGGUGAAUUCUUACAAAUUAAAAGCAGUUAUACUUGUUGAUUGGGAUAACCUAAACAAGGUGGUUGUAUUAAGUCUGUUCUCAUCAGUAGAACUAAUAGUUUUUGCUAUUAAGUCUCAUGCUAAUGAAGUACAGUUAAAAAUAAAAUGCACAUUUUGUAGCUAUGAAUCAUGUUCUGAAUAUGAUCUUGGUUCAGUUUUUCUGUUGAGCUUGUAAAGUAUGUUUAUGGUUAACUAUUCCAUUUUUCACAUCACAUUUGUAAAAGGUUAAAUAAUUUCUAUUUGACUUUCUUGCAGGCUCUACCAUUCUAAGAUGCUUUAAAAACCGUCUCAUUUGAAAUAUUGGGUUUCUUUACCCGAUAAGGUUAGUGCAUCUUGAGAACAAUUAUAUUGUAUCACACGACAGCUUGAAUUGAAUUGCACAAACUGAAUGAAGAUCUAUCUGCCAUAUAUUUUAAUCUGUCACUCUUCAGUGGUUAAUGUUUAAGGCACCAUGGUUUUGCCUAGUUCAAAUGUUUGUCUGUGGUGCAAUGCACGUCCUUUUCACCAUGGAAAUUGGCAAGCCUGUGAUUUUCUUGUACUUCUUUUGUUUAACCCAUUUAAUUUUUAGCCCUUGCUUAUUAUGUCAUCCAUUGCAAUUCUAUUUUACUAUUUUUAUUUUUUGGGUGUGUGGAUAGUUUGAGCUUUUUUAGGGGAAGGUGCAUUCCGCAAUGUCUUGCUUGUUUGUAAAACAGCAAAAGUACUUGGUGCAUUUUCUUAAAUAUAUGUUACUGCAUUGAUUUUGAUCUUUGUGAUUCUAGGUUGGGUACACAAGCUUACACCCCCUUCACAUGGAGGUGGGCCCACAUAUAAUAAGAUAUUCGUGGCCCCCCCUUCCAUUUGAGGGAAGUGUAAGGCUGUGUGUACACCUUAGCAUUUUCCUUCUAGGUUUAGCUGGUAGGUCAUCAACUCCUUGACCAUUUGAAGUUAUUGAUAGCUAUUAUCUUCAGUCACUAAUUUGAGUUUUGAAUUUUUACUUUACAUUAUUUUUACAAUCUAACAAGUUAUAUUACUUUAUUAAUUCUUAGAUUUAAAUGCGUCAUUGGUUCGACGAAUGUCUUCUCCAAACAACUUGCAAGAGUUCAAGAAAUUUUCUUUUGAAGAAUUAGAAUGAGAUGAUUCUAAUAUAAUUUUGUUGAUUGUCUUUUCGAGCAUAUAUUGUUAUUAGUAUUUGAUGUGAGAUGGAACAUAAUUAGAUUUCUUUAUUGAACAACUAAACUUGUAUAUUUCUACAAGACAAUAUUGAUGCAUGUUUUGGAAUUUAUUAUUA